ACGAAACCAUUAAAGACAUUUGUUUGCUCGAUUGAUAGGAUCAUAAAGAGUAAAUUUCGGGUUAUAAAAACAGCAAUUAAACCGAUCCAUCUAUACUAUUAAAGCUGAAGUACCCAUCAGAUUUACAAUAAAAUUUUCAAUUGAAAUAAAAUACACGUAAUCGGAUAUAUCAUUUUUGGAUCAUUGGGUAUAGAUAAUGAAUCGGAUAUUUCUCCAGCAGAUUAUAUCAUUUCCAUAUUUAGUUUUGAUUUUUCUAAAAUAUCUCUAACUAAUUUAAUAUAAUAUAUUAAAAAUAAUUAUUAUUCUCCUCUUACAUUCUUAUGAUCAUGUUUAUAUUUUAUUUAUUUUAUUACAUUAAAAAUAUGAAUAAAUAAAACUAGAAAUUUUUUUCCGCAUAUGUUGUCAUUUGAAUUAUUUAAAACGGACAUAUAAAUCUCAAUCGAUUAAAAAAAGAGGUAUGUAAAACGUCCUACAUCGGCUAGAAAAGUUUAGAAAAUGGUUCAUAAUCAUUAUAAAUAGUUGUUCAAAAAAAAAAAUCAUUAUAAAUAGGAUCCUACCAAAAAAAAACAUUAUAAAUAGGACUGAUAUAUUCAACCUACGAAUAAACCGGAAGUUUGAUUUCUCAACUGUCCAAAAUUUAAAAUUUUUAUUCGGUUAAACUCGGUUCUAUAUUUGAGCAAAUUAAAACUUUCAAAAAAAUUUAAAUAUUAUAAUAUUAAAUUUAAAAAAAAAAUCAAAGUACUAUAAAUAUUGAAACUUUAGAGUAUUAAGUUUUAAAUAUUUUAGGUGAAAUAUUAAAUAAUACACUACUAAUUUUUUUAAAGAUAUUUGUUCUGAAAAAAGUUUAUUUAAUUACACAAUAACAUACAAACAAAUUAUUCAUGUCAAAUUAAGAAACAUAUAUGUAAUGCUUUUGAACUCAAAUAGGAAGGGCCACUUCACUGAGUAUUUGUGAUAAUAGUCACGCAUCUCAUUGUUUUUGUGAUGCAGGUAAUGAUAAAUUGUGAUCGUGGAAUCAAGGCGAGGAAGAGGGCGAUGAUCUAGAGUCGCUGUUUGGGUUUUAAUGUUUUGUUAUUUUAUUUAUGGAACCACGGAUGAGAAGAAUGCUUAGCAAUGCUAGUUUAAUUUGGUUUAUGGAGACUUGUUGGUUGAUUUCUGGUUUAGUAUUCUAAUUGGAUUUAUUGAAGUUGGGUUAAUUGAGUUCCGUUGUUUGAUUGCAUGUUUGGUUUAAUACGUCGGUUAAGAUUAUUUUAUGGGGUUAAUAUUGAUGAAUUAAAAAGUUGGAAAACGGGAUGGAUCGUUUCAGUAUUGAAGUCUUUAACUUUGGGAGUUGGACACUUUUUCCAUGAGGCACCCAUGCCGGCCCAGCCCGCGACCCAUUUUUUUGAUACAUUAGUAUUGGGCCUACAGCUUUUUUGAAUUUUUUUACUAACAAAUUUAGGCCCCAAAAACAAAUUAUAUUGCAAUUAUAGGCCCCAAAUUUUGUGAAUGUUUAAGACUGUUUUUCACCUUUUUAAUUUUAUUUAUUUGGUAUUGCAAAAAACAGACCAUAGUUUAUGAAUUUUUUAGAUUUGGUCUUAUAAAAUUCAGUAAAUUUGUUUUUUGUAUUGGGCCUCAUAUUAUGCUGGACCGGCCCUGCACCCGUGGCAGACCCGAAGUGACCAUGAUCGGAUUAACAGGUUCCUCGUUUCGCAACUAUCAUUGAACAAUACGUUGUAUUCACGACCUUUAAAUUACUUUAUGAAUCAAAUCGGAGGUGUUUGAUCAUGUAGAUAUUAGUCCUGGGCACGAAGCGAAUAUUCGGAAAAUCUGUAAUAUUUGUGAUUCGCUUCGCUUCGACUGAAU
rnacentral:lncRNA from 1 species